rnacentral:rRNA from 1 species
GACGUAGGGCGCGAGCGUUGUCCGGAUUUAUUGGGCGUAAAGAGCUCGUAGGCGGCUUGUCGCGUCGACUGUGAAAUCCCGCGGCUCAACUGCGGGUCUGCAGUCGAUACGGGCAGGCUAGAGUUCGGUAGGGGAGACUGGAAUCCUGGUGUAGCGGUGAAAUGCGCAGAUAUCAGGAGGAACACCGGUGGCGAAGGCGGGUCUCUGGGCCGAUACUGACGCUGAGGAGCGAAAGCGUGGGGAGCGAACAGG